AUGGAGCAGCUCCAAGAAACACCGCACGGAGAUGGAAAUCUCAAGGCCGCCCCAGAUCCCGGACUCGGAGGCGGCAAUGGCGGCUGCAUCGCUCCCAAUGGCACCCUCCCCUGCGGCUGGCUCGGUCGUCUGUCCCGCGAGCUGCAUUGGAGCUUCGUGCUCGCCGUCGUCGCCGUCUACGGCGCCUGCCAGGGCGUCGGCUCCUCAUUCGGCAGCGUCGCCGCGGGGUACUACUGGAAGGACGUGCAGCGCGUGCAGCCGGCCGCCUCGCAGUUCUACCAGGGCGUCGUCAACGUGCCCUGGGUCGUCAAGCCCCUGUGGGGCCUCUUCACCGACGUCGUCCCCGUCGCCGGCUACCGCCGCCGCCCGUACCUCCUCCUCGCAGGCGUCAUGGGCGUGUCGUCCAUGCUCACGCUUGCUCUGCGCCGCACGCCGGCGAUCGCACCGGCAUUGGUGGCGUUCACGACGCAGGCCGCGGGCGCCGCCAUAGCCGACGUGGUGGUGGACGCCAUGGUCGCGCAGAACAGCAUAAGCCACCCUCCGCUCGCCGCCGACAUGCAGAGCAUGUGCGGGUAUUGCUCCUCCGCCGGCGCAUUGGUGGGGUACUCCAUCAGCGGCCUCGUCGUUCACGCAAUAGGUUCCCAGGGGGCUCUUGGCUUGCUGAGCAUCCCCUCCGUGCUCGUAUUUUCGGCCGGGAUUCUUGUCAAGGAGGAGCGGGCCAAGGAUUUCGAGUACAACCAGGUUCACAAGAAGUUCUACGAAGCAGUUGAAUCAAUGUGGUCAACAUUGAAGUGCCCGCAAGUCUGGAGGCCGUGCGUUUACAUGUUCUUAAUGUUCGUGCUAAGCCCGGACAUCCAAGGAGGGCUGUUCUACUGGUACACAGAUUCGAGCACCGGACUCGCAUUUUCCGAGGGAUUCAUUGGUCUCAUCUACUCGAUAGGCUCAGUGGGCUCGCUGCUCGGCGUCCUGCUCUACCAGAACAUGCUCAAGGACUACCCGUUCCGCGGCCUGCUCCUAUGGGGCCAGCUGCUGGCCUGCCUGUCCGGGAUGAUCGACCUGGUGCUGGUCACCAGGCUGAACCUGAGGAUCGGCAUGGCGGACUACCUCUUCGCUGUGAUGGACAACAGCGUCUCCCAGCUGAUCGGCCAGCUGAAAUGGCUGCCGCUCCUCGUGCUCUGCUCCAAGCUCUGCCCCGUGGGCAUCGAGGGCACCUUCUUCGCGCUGCUCAUGUCCAUCCAGAACCUCGGCCUGCUCAUGUCCGCCUGGUGGGGCGGCCUCCUGCUGCACGCGCUGGGCGUGUCUCGGACCGAGUUCGGGAACCUCUGGGUGGCCGUGCUGGCGAGGAACGCCAUGCGGCUGCUCCCGCUGGCGUUCCUGUUCCUGGUGCCUCGGAGCGACCAGAGCUCGACCAUCCUUCCCGCGGAGAUGCUGCUUGCGGAUGGAGGUUCCGCGGGACAUGUGGAACCAGGGUCGUCAGGUGUCAUCGAGUUUUCUGUCCUCCAUGGAAAUGAAAAUGGUGAAGUUGUUGAGACUGAGGAAGAGGAACUAGAGCUGACCCCACUCAUGGAGAAGAUUUGA
rnacentral:rRNA from 1 species